CUCAGAAGCAUCAAGAACAUCACCAUGAGGACGCUCAGUGUCACGGUCGGACUCCUGCUGUUGCUCGCCGCCUUGAGCUCCAACGCUGGCCCUCAUGGAGGAAUGCCGUCCAAGUGCUGCUUUAACUUUUUCGGACAACAGAUCCCAGCGGCUUUUGUUCUCUCAAUCCAGAAGACUCACUUCAGAUGUCACACUAAAGCCUUUGUGAUCAAAACCUCCAUUGGGGAGGUCUGUGUGAAGCAGACUGAAUGGUCUGAGGCAGUUUAUAACAAACUCCAUCACAACAUCAAUUCCUAACCUUCCUCCAUCAUCAUCAUCAUCUUCUUCUUCUUCAUUCAAAAGAUGAAAGCGCUCUAAGGGGAAAACGGUGCGACACAAACAGAGAAAAAUGGACCAAAAUCACACCAAUCUGCAAAUUUAAAGGCUCUGACUGAAAAACAGGGAUUUCUUCACAUCUGAGAUCAACCUAUACAAGACUUUUACUCGCCUCUGUCAGAAAUUCUUUCCUCAAAACUCUCUUGUAAAUGGGUUGAUUAAAAGCUUUUGAAUUGAAUAUUUGAUCAAUACUCAUCUAAAAAGUCUCUGUUUUCAUUUUUAGGCUCAAAUCCUAAUUAACGAAUAAACUUUGUUCA